GCGGGAGUGGUGGAAUUGGCAGACACGCAGGAUUUAGGAUCCUGUGCCUUCGGGCGUGAGGGUUCAAGUCCCUCCUUCCGCA
rnacentral:tRNA from 1 species